GUGUUCUCUGUGGUGCUAUUGUGUCAGUGCAUCUGGCUGUUAACCAGAAGAUCGGUGGUUCGAGCCCACCCAGGCGUG